UACGAAGGGGGCUAGCGUUGUUCGGAAUCACUGGGCGUAAAGCGCACGUAGGCGGAUCUUUAAGUCAGGGGUGAAAUCCCGAGGCUCAACCUCGGAACUGCCUUUGAUACUGGGGAUCUCGAGUCCGGGAGAGGUGAGUGGAACUGCGAGUGUAGAGGUGAAAUUCGUAGAUAUUCGCAAGAACACCAGUGGCGAAGGCGGCUCACUGGCCCGGAACUGACGCUGAGACGCGAAAGCGUGGGGAGCGAACAGG
rnacentral:rRNA from 1 species